GAUGAACGCUGGCGGCGUGCCUAAUACAUGCAAGUCGAGCGAACGGACGAGAAGCUUGCUUCUCUGAUGUUAGCGGCGGACGGGUGAGUAACACGUGGAUAACCUACCUAUAAGACUGGGAUAACUUCGGGACACCGGAGCUAAUACCGGAUAAUAUUUUGAACCGCAUGGUUCAAAAGUGAAAGACGGUCUUGCUGUCACUUAUAGAUGGAUCCGCGCUGCAUUAGCUAGUUGGUAAGGUAACGGCUUACCAAGGCAACGAUGCAUAGCCGACCUGAGAGGGUGAUCGGCCACACUGGAACUGAGACACGGUCCAGACUCCUACGGGAGGCAGCAGUAGGGAAUCUUCCGCAAUGGGCGAAAGCCUGACGGAGCAACGCCGCGUGAGUGAUGAAGGUCUUCGGAUCGUAAAACUCUGUUAUUAGGGAAGAACAUAUGUGUAAGUAACUGUGCACAUCUUGACGGUACCUAAUCAGAAAGCCACGGCUAACUACGUG
rnacentral:rRNA from 1 species